rnacentral:rRNA from 1 species
AGAGUUUGAUCAUGGCUCAGAAUGAACGUUGGCGGCGUGGAUUAGGCAUGCAAGUCGUACGCUUUAUGUAGCAAUACAUGAAGAGUGGCGAAAGGGAGAGUAAUGCAUGGUUAGCUACCCUCGGGACUGGGAUAGCGGCGGGAAACUGCCGGUAAUACCAGAUGAUGUCUUCGGACCAAACGUGUAAACCGGCCCGAGGAGGCGACCAUGUCCUAUCAGCUAGUUGGCGGUGUAAUAGACCACCAAGGCAAAGACGGGUAUGGGGCGUGAGAGCGUGCCCCCACUCACUGGGACUGAGACACUGCCCAGACACCUACGGGUGGCUGCAGUCGAGAAUCUUCGGCAAUGGGCGCAAGCCCGACCGAGCGACGCCGCGUGCGGGAUGAAGGCCUUCGGGUUGUAAACCGCUGUCGUAGGGGAGGAAGGUCUGGUGUAUAGCCAGGCUUGACCGAUCCUAGGAGGAAGGGCCGGCUAAUCUCGUGCCAGCAGCCGCGGUAAUAC